rnacentral:rRNA from 1 species
AGCGAACGCUGGCGGCAGGCCUAACACAUGCAAGUCGAACGAACUCUUCGGAGUUAGUGGCGGACGGGUGAGUAACACGUGGGAACGUGCCUUUAGGUUCGGAAUAACUCAGGGAAACUUGUGCUAAUACCGAAUGUGCCCUUCGGGGGAAAGAUUCAUCGCCUUUAGAGCGGCCCGCGUCUGAUUAGCUUGUUGGUGGGGGAAUGGCCCACCAAGGCGACGAUCAGUAGCUGGUCUGAGAGGAUGACCAGCCACAUUGGGACUGAGACACGGCCCAAACUCCUACGGGAGGCAGCAGUGGGGAAUCUUGCGCAAUGGGCGAAAGCCUGACGCAGCCAUGCCGCGUGGAUGAUGAAGGUCUUAGGAUUGUAAAAUCCUUUCACCGGUGAAGAUAAUGACUGUAGCCGGAGAAGAAGCCCCGGCUAACUUCGUGCCAGCCGCCGCGGUAAAAC